rnacentral:rRNA from 1 species
AUUUUGGACAAUGGGCGCAAGCCUGAUCCAGCCAUGCCGCGUGAGUGAAGAAGGCCUUCGGGUUGUAAAGCUCUUUCGGCUGGGGCGAAACGAACCGUGUUAACACCACGGAUCCCUGACGGUACCAGCAGAAGCAGCACCGUCUAACUACGUGCCAGCAGCCGCGGUAAUACGUAGGGUGCAGGCGUUAAUCGGAAUUACUGGGCGUAAAGCGUGCGCAGGCGGUCUAUUAAGACAGGUGUGAAAUCCCCGGGCUUAACCUGGGAACUGCGCUUGUAACUGAUAGGCUGGAGUGUGGCAGAGGGGGGUGGAAUUCCAGGUGUAGCAGUGAAAUGCGUAGAGAUCUGGAGGAACACCGAUGGCGAAGGCAGCCCCCUGGGCUAACACUGACGCUCAUGCACGAAAGCGUGGGGAGCAAAC